UGGGGAAUUUUGGACAAUGGGGGAAACCCUGAUCCAGCCAUCCCGCGUGUGCGAUGAAGGCCUUCGGGUUGUAAAGCACUUUUGUCAGGGAAGAAAAGGUUCCGGAUAAUACCCGGAACUGAUGACGGUACCUGAAGAAUAAGCACCGGCUAACUACGUGCCAGCAGCCGCGGUAAUACGUAGGGUGCAAGCGUUAAUCGGAAUUACUGGGCGUAAAGCGUGCGCAGGCGGUUCGGAAAGAAAGAUGUGAAAUCCCAGGGCUCAACCUUGGAACUGCAUUUUUAACUACCGAACUAGAGUAUGUCAGAGGGGGGUGGAAUUCCACGUGUAGCAGUGAAAUGCGUAGAUAUGUGGAGGAACACCGAUGGCGAAGGCAGCCCCCUGGGAUAAUACUGACGCUCAUGCACGAAAGCGUGGGGAGCAAACAGGAUUAGAUACCCUGGUAGUCCACGCCCUAAACGAUGUCAACUAGCUGUUGGGCCCUUCGGGGCUUAGUAGCGCAGCUAACGCGUGAAGUUGACCGCCUGGGGAGUACGGUCGCAAGAUUA
rnacentral:rRNA from 1 species